rnacentral:rRNA from 1 species
CACGCUGUAAACGAUGAGUGCUAGGUGUCGGGGGUCAAACCUCGGUGCCGCCGUUAACACAUUAAGCACUCCGCCUGGGGAGUACGUUCGCAAGAAUGAAACUCAAAGGAAUUGACGGGGACCCGCACAAGCAGCGGAGCAUGUGGUUUAAUUCGAAGCAACGCGAAGAACCUUACCAGGGCUUGACAUCCUCGGACGACACUAGAGAUAGUGUUUUCUCUUCGGAGACUGAGAGACAGGUGG